AGUGAACGCUGGCGGUAGGCCUAACACAUGCAAGUCGAACGGCAGCACAGUAAGAGCUUGCUCUUACGGGUGGCGAGUGGCGGACGGGUGAGGAAUACAUCGGAAUCUACUUUUUCGUGGGGGAUAACGUAGGGAAACUUACGCUAAUACCGCAUACGACCUACGGGUGAAAGCAGGGGAUCUUCGGACCUUGCGCGUUUGAAUGAGCCGAUGUCGGAUUAGCUAGUUGGCGGGGUAAAGGCCCACCAAGGCGACGAUCCGUAGCUGGUCUGAGAGGAUGAUCAGCCACACUGGAACUGAGACACGGUCCAGACUCCUACGGGAGGCAGCAGUGGGGCAUAUUGGACAAUGGGCGAAAGCCUGAUCCAGCAAUACCGCGUGCGUGAAGAAGGCUUUGGGGUUGUAAAGCCCUUUUGUUGGGAAAGAAAAGCAGAAGGUUAAUACCCCGCUGUUCUGACGGUACCCAAAGAAUAAGCACCGGCUAACUUCGUG
rnacentral:rRNA from 1 species